rnacentral:rRNA from 1 species
GACGAACGCUGGCGGCGUGCUUAACACAUGCAAGUCGAACGAAGUGGCACACGGGUGAGUAACGCGUGAUCAACCUGCCCUUCAGAGGGGUACACCAGUUGGAAACGACUGCUAAUCCCGCAUUCUGACUGACGGGUUUGCGUCGGAUUAGCUAGUUGGCGGGGUAACGGCCCACCGAGGCGAUGAUCAGUCGCCGGUGUGGGAGGAGGAACGGCCACAGUGGGACUGUGACACGGGCCAUACGCCUACGGGAGGCAGCAGUGGGGGAUGUUCCGCAAUGGACGAAAUGCUGACGAGGCAACGCCGGGGGAGUGAUGACGGCCUUCGGGUUGUAAAGCUCUGUUAAGCGGGACGCGGUACCGGAAUAGAAAGCCACGGCUAACUACGUGCCAGCAGCCGCGGUAAUAC